GGCUUUUCUGUCACUGACAACUGAAGGAAUCCUGACGGGUAAUAAGGAAACAUUUUCUGAAACUGAGAGCUGUCCAUACAUGUAAGGGGCUGCCUUUGGGAGGAGUGAGCUCCCCGUCACCAGAAGUGUUCAAGCAGAAGCUGGCAGACCACUUUGGAAGGGAAACUUCAUGCACUGGAGGGAAACUUGAGCUGAAUGACCUUUCAGUCCAAGAUUCCAUGACUACAGUUUCUCUGGAAGACAAGCUUAAAGAGAUUCUGGUUACUUCUCCUGGACUGACACGUGGACAUCACAGGGACAUCCAGAGCAUUCCAGAUCAAAUCGUAUCGGAUCAUAUUCCUCCCAGAUAAGUUCUCUUGACUGGAGACUUGUAGGAAGUUGACUUGAAUUUGGAGGAAGAUGAGGGGAAUGUUGCUUGGUUUGCUGAGGAAAGAAAGAGCACAUCUGAACCAGCUGCAUGCGGUUGCAGGGCUGGCGGCCCACAAUGGAGGGUGAACUGGAUGCCUGCUGGGCGACAGGCAGGCGCGAUGACACAGGCCAGAGUAUUAUUUACUCCCUGGGAACAGGUGCUGCCCGGGACUUGCCGUCCUCUCUUGCCUGACUCUCCUCUGCCCACAUGUCCCGGCCCUACUCGGAGGCAGCUCCCUCCAUGCCCUGAGCGGGCCCCCGCCCCAGCCCUUGGCAGCAGGCGCCUGGGGGGUGCCAGCGGUGGGCCGGCUCCCCUGGAGACAUGCGCUCUCACUGGAAUCGGCUCAUUUUACAUAAACUGUUGGUGCAGAUGUCAGGUGAUAGCAACUUUCCGGCCCCAGUUAACCUGCCAUUGCCCUGUCCGUGCCCAUGCAGAUGCAACAGAAGGAGCAGAGGGAAAGCCAUGGAAGAGCGAGGAGAAAAUAAUACUGCACGCAAGCAUCUUUGUGGACUGGCAAGUUCGCCUCUGGAAAAUGCCCUCGACUGCGAGCCAGGAGCGGCUUUUCUAUCAGAGGGAAACAAACAACCUGCAGGCGAGCUCCCACUGCCGCCCGCUGCUCUUUCCUCCCUGAUUAUGUGUUAUUUCCUUCAAGCUCUGGUUGGUAAACACGCAGCACUCUUCUGUUGAUUCACACAACAAUACAGAAGGAGGUUAAGGCAUUUCUUUGCACAGUUUGAUUGAGGACAAAUACAGAGGGGAAGUGAGUGAGCAGAAGGCCUGGAGGUCUUGUUUGGCUCAUGAGCUGGACCACAUGCUGCAUUCACCCCAAGUCCUUCUUCCCGAACCCCAGGACCGUCAGAACACAUCAGUGCCAACUGUGAACCAGCUUCUUGGCCCCGGGACGCAGUGGGGGAAAAACGCUCCCAACCCGGCAGUGGAGGGAAGACAAAUAUACGGAUAAUCCCAGCAUGUGGCCCAGGGUCACAGGGCCGUGAGUGACAGAGGCACAUGCUGUGGGUUAGCAGAGAGCAAGACUGCACUUGGCCGAAGAGCUCAGGAGAAAACGGCCACGAGGUUUCCUGGUUCAGACCCUCAUCCUGUGCCCUGGACCACAGAAUCUGCGUCUGCACCGGCAUCCUGCUUGCAAGCUCGUCCCGCUCCGAUGCACCUCUCAUUCUGCUACCAGAGGGGUCUUUCUGACUUACAACUCCAGCAGUUCUCCACUCAUCGAAAACGCUUCAUUGAACUCCAUCACUCCAGGAUAAAGGCCAGCAUGGCCAUCAUCAUCUAGCACCCGCCCCCCCAGCUCCCCUCCCCAGCCUCAUUUCUCAAACUCAUCUUUUCAGAUGGUUUUUACUCCAGUAGUGCUGAACCGUAUGCCAUUUCGCCUUCCUUAGGUCGCCUCCCUGAACUGAACUCCUAUUCAUCCUUCAAAACUCACCUUCCAUAUGACCUCCUCCAAGUAUUGAUCGUGGUGUCUUCUGUGUUGUCUCUCUCUGUCUCGUUCUUCUUAAACUUCUUUGGAUUGUAAUGCUUUAUCUUCCUGUUAAUGUUUACCAAAAGACUGGAGCUUCUGAGGGUUAAGAGUCAUAGAGAGUUCGAGGCGGUGUCCUGGCAUCCAGCAUGGUGCCUGGCGCUUAGCCAUGCUCCACACGUGUUGGUGCCAUCCCUUUCCACCAAAGGAAGGCUGACACCCUGGGGCUGACCAUACCUAGUGUCCCCAGUGCCUACUUCUCCUUUUCUGGAACUUUCUCCCAUAGUCCUCCUCAAACCCUCUUCUAAAGCCUUUAGCUCCCUCCAUCCUAACGCCCUCCUCCCACUGCCAAGAAAAAAAAGCCCGGUCUCAGGUCUCAGGGGAGGAUAAUCUAAACUCUUCCAAAGAGAGCGAGAGAAAGAAAAGGGCCUGAUCUUAAUUGAUCUCCUGUGUCUCUCAUGUCCUAGCGCCUUUGACCCCACAGCAACCCAGUGAACAGAGUAUUUUGACCUCCAUUUUACAGAUUAAGACACUAAAGUUUAGAGACAGCAUGUGACUUUCCCAAGGUCACUCAGCUGAUGAGCAGAGCCAGGAUUCCCACCCAGAGGGUCUGACUCCAAAGAGUUUUCCCCUUUCACUGUAAGAGGGGGUGGAGUUGGGGUAUCUGCCGUUUCCUAGUCACCCUCCACACAAAAAGCGGAAAGCCUCUGUCCUAGUUAUUUCUCCACCCUACAGGUCCCAGGCUGAAAUCCUACUUCUUCCCAGAGGCCCCAUCUCCUGCAGCCAGCCCAGGCCGAUCUUGCCUUCUGCUGACCUCCCGUCUCCCGCGGGACCGCCCGGGUACCAGUGCGUUCCACACUGCACUGGCCUCUGGGGGUUUCUGUGUCAGCAGCUUUUCAUCUCAGUGCGAAGGCUGGGAACAUGCUCCUGCUCCCCAGACAGGAUCUAGGACAAUGCCAGGCACGGGGCAAGAAGCCAACUGACAAGUCCUUUUAUUCCAAAGGUGUGUUGAUUCACAGCUGUAGUGUCCUCUGUUCCACUACCUGCUCCUUUUGUGAUCUUGGACAAGUCACUUCUCUCUCUUUGUACUCCAGUUUCCUCAUCUCCGAAGUAACAAAAUUGGACUUCUGUAAUAAUAUCUAACGUUUCCACUGUGUUUACUCUGUGCCGGGCAUUGCUAUAGUGCCUUACAUCUACUACCUGAUUGAUUCCUCGCAACAACCCUGGGAGGCAUCCACUCUCACGAUCUCAUUUUAUAGAAACAGGAAACCAAAGCACAGAGAGGGUAUGUAGUGUUCCCAAGGCCACACAGCCAGUAAGUGGCAAAACCUGGAUUUAAAGGCAAGCAGUCUGUUCCAGAGUCCAUGCGCUAACCAUUACAUGCAAUGCACCUCCUCUUAGAUUUCUCUUUACGGUGUGGGUGUCUCCUUCAUUCAUUUCACAGCUGUUUACUGGUCCUCUGCUCUGUCCCAGUCACAGGGGCCAGAGUUAGAAAACCCAAUAAGCCCCUGAUUCUGCCCUUGGGGUCCCCCGUGGCGUGGUGCGGAGUGGUGGCUGAGGACCCUCAAGCCUUCUAGGUGUCCUUCUGGAGGGCUGGGCCGGCUACAGCACAAGCACCUCCACCACAUGUCCCCCAAAGUUGGAUUUUUCAGUGCUGUUUUAUUUUCUCGUGGAUUCACACUAUAACUCAGAGUGUCUUUAUCAGGAAUGGGGACUAAGGCCCCUUGACCUGUGGGUGCCCCUGUCCUGGUAUCUGUCAAGUGGUUUGUUGGACUCAGCUGCCUCGUUCCAGGCCCCCCACAACGCAGCUGCAGCAUCACCCUCCACAGGACCCCCCCCCCAGCGGGGGCUGAAGACUCUCUGUUCCCACAAACGUGCCCCUCACUCUUCCUCCUUCCCGUGGUGUCUGCCCGCCCGUCAUGGGCCCGCUCAUCCUUCUUGGCUCAUCACAGAAGCCACCUCCAUGAAGCCUCUCCUGGUUCCCCUCACCAGAUGCAAUCGCUCUGUCCUUGCUCUUCCGUGCGGAGUUCGAGUUCCUCGCAGGCAAGAACACGUUUUAUAGGCAAUUGUCCAAAGCGUGCAAUACAGCAACUCCCAGUGCAGAGCGGAAGGCACCAUUCCCUGGGCUGCAAAGCCCUAAUUUCUAGCCUCUGCUCCUCUAUUGAAUACUUGUGUGACAUAUGACAAGUCGUUGUCAUUUAUUUAUUGUUUGUUUCUCCUGAUCCCUAAAGAAUACAGAAAAGUGUAAAGAAGGCCUAAAUUAUCCAUAAUUCCCACCACUCUUCCUAUUUUGCUCUAUUUCCUUCUUAUCUCUCCUCUAUGCAUGUAGCACAGGUGGAAGUAGAUAUGCUGUAAAUAUUGUUUUGCGACCAUUUUCACUUAAUGUUUUAUGAACAUUGUCUUUGAUGAAAAUCUUUUAUACAGAAUUUUUUUAAAAAAAUUUUUAUUGAGGUAUAAUUUACAGACAGCAAAUGCACCGUUUUUUAAGUGCGUGGUUUUGAUGAGUUCUGACAACUGUGAGCACUCAGUAACCAUCACCACGGUCGGAUUUAGAACAUUUCCACCAUUCCCAGAAGUUCUGAACACUCCUUUGAAGUCAGUCCCCACAUUCCUCCGGGCCCAGGUGACCACGGAUGUGCUUCUACAGCCGGAUUUUUUUUCUUUUGAGGAAGAUUAGCCCUGAGCUAACUACUGCCAAUCCUCGUCUUUUCGCUGAGGAAGGCUGGCCCUGAGCUAACAUCCAAGCCCAUCUUCCUCUACUUUAUAUGUGGGAUGCCUGCCACAGCAUGGCUUGACAAGCAGUGCCAUGUCCGCACCCGAGAUCCGAACCAGAGAAUCCCAGGCCGCAGAAGCAGAAUGUGCGAACUUUACCGCUGCACCACCAGGCCACUACGGCCAGAUUUUGAAUGACCAUGUCAUGCUGCAUCGCAAGGAUGCCUUUCUUGGUUAGGCCAUUUCCCGAUUGUUGGCCACAAGGACAGUAUCUCACUUUUCCCUGUAAUGAAUUACAAUCCAAUGAACAAUCUUUGGUCAUACCUAUGCUUAUGUCCCUGGGAUAAAUGCUCAGACCUAGAGUUGUCGGAUCAAAGGGUACAUACGCACAGUUUUAAGCUUAUGAUAAAUAUUUGAGCAAGUCGCUUUUAAUCGCUCUGAGUCUCAGUUUAGCCAUUUGUAAAAUAGGGACUAAAAAUUCCAGCCUCAAGGAGUUGCGAGGAUGACGUGAGACAAGGUAUAAGGCAUUUCGAGUAACUCAUCAGCCCGGCUGCAAAUCCCUGGGGAGCAGAGUGGGAGGAGAGCCUGGGCCAGGUGGCUCUGGAUUUGAGUCCUGACUCGGCCCCUCUUCUGGCCGUGGCCCUGAGUGAGCUGCCUACCCUCAGCGGCCUCGCCGUUCUCAUGUGUCCAGUGGGAAGCAGGUUCCGUGCUCCCAGGGUUGCUGUGAAGGUUAAGUGAGAUUCUCCCCGUUGGAGCUCAGAGCACUUCCUAGCAGUGAUUAGUUCCGGUCAGGGUUUUCGGUUACAAAUAAAUAGGCACCACUCUGGUUAACUUAAGGAGAGGAGGAAGUUGUUGAAAGGAUAUUGGGUAGCUCACAGAAUCAACAGGAAGGCUAGAGACCCAGGCGUGCAAAACGAGCAGGAACUAAGGUAGAUUGGGCAGCUGAGCACACAGCCCAGGCCCUGCCCCAGGAAGUGUCUCGUUAGGACCUGCGCUGGCACUGCCGCCUCCCGGGCCUCGCUGCCCAGGCCGCCGCCAGACACCCGGCUGGUGUGGCUCCCGUCAUUGCGGGCCAUCCUCCUGUCCAUACCACACGCUCCAGAUUUCCAGUUCCAGAUGGAGGCAUCCAAGUGGCAGAGUCGGGCUUACAGACCAGAGCCCCGGCUGCCAGGGAAUGAGAUGAACAAACGUCUGCUUUCUUUCAGCUUCUGCUGGGCUGCGGGGGGAGAAGGGGGGGCAGUUCCCGGCUUCGUCCCCAAGCCCACAGAGUGUGAGAAUUCCCUAAAAUAGGCAGCAGGCUCAGACGCUGGGUUGCUAAAAGUGAUAAGUCCAUGACGCUAUUAUUUUUAAUAAUGUGAUGACUGAAUAAAUGUUUAGUGAAUUGUGUUUAUUCUAUAAACACAUGCUAAAUGCUAUAGGACAAGCAUCGUUUUAAAGAAACUUCUUCGUGAAUGCUCUGAUAAAAGUUAUGGCAGAUUUGCGCAUUUGGAAGGUGUCAUAUUGGGUUUUCUUCUCGUGGGAACAGGUCUGCAUAAACUUCUAGUGAUUUUAAGGUAUUCGGGUGUGCGUGUGUGUGUAUGGGGUUGGCAUGGAGAGGACACAGGGAGAAGAUAGAAUCUGUGAUCUACUGCAAAUGAGCACUCUUGAUCAAAUCUUCAAAUUCCACUGUCCAUUUCCUUUUGGUUUGAUUUGAUACAAUUUUUCACUAGAACUGGGCAAGUCCAGUUACCCAGGAUGAGGCAGAAAGUCAAGUUGGCCACAGGUAUGGGUAGCCUGGGGGCUGGUCUGAUUUCAGUGGGGGUCGGUUGAACAUAGUUAACAGCUGACUCCUGUUAUUUAUCUUCCAUAGCUAUGAUUUUUUGAGCCCUUAAUGGACAUUGCUUGUUUAAUUCUCACAAUCACCUGUGGUGGGAAAAUGGCGGCCCAGAGCAUAAGAAUAAUCUUUUCAAGGUCACACAGCUAGCAGGUGAAAGAUUGGGGAUUUGAAGCCAGGUCUGCCUGUGGUUGAAUUCAAGGCUCUUAGCUACAAGUGUAGCAAAGCAAACAGUGUGCACAUGGCUCUGGAGAGCUGGGGACAGGGCCACCGUGUCAACAGACAUGUUAGCCAGGUGGACAUAGCAUGAGGAUGAAGCGUGGGAGGCGAGCCCUCCAACAGUCAGCUCAGGCUUCCAGGGCAGAUUCCCAGGCCCAGGGAGGUGGACUAGCCAGUCAUAUGAGAUAUACUUAAAACUUGCUUGUUUUUGCCUUAAAAAUAUUUUGUUGUACUAGAUUGACUGACUAUUUGCAUAUAUGCAAAAUAUCCCUGCCUCUCAUCCCCCAUCCUUCCAGGCAACUAAUGGUACCAGUUUUUAUGUAUUCUGCCAGAGUUCUUUCUAUGCAUCCACAAACAUAAGUAAUGAUUCAUCUGUCCUUCUAUUUGCAACCUAAAUGGUAUCAUACUGUGUGCAUUGUUCUACCCUUCAGUGUGUUCGCUUAACAAUAUGUCUUGGAGAUCUUUCCAUGAUGGUAUACAUAGCUCUUCUUCAUUUUUUAACAGUUGCAUAGUUUUCCAGAGUGUGACCAUUCUAUGAAUAUACCAUAAUUUACUUAACAUGGUCUAUUAAUAAAGAUUUG
rnacentral:lncRNA from 1 species